GCCUUCGUAGAUCAGCGGUAGAUCACCUUGAAUGCAUAUAAGUUACACAGACCCUUUGAAGAGGCAGCGUGGGUUUGAAUCGCGCCGGAGGCA